rnacentral:lncRNA from 1 species
AGAAACAAAAAUCACUCAAAUUUGAUUGUGUUUGUGAAAUUUUGUGUUUUGCUCUUUAUUUCAGACGAUCCUGAAGGCUGCUUUAUUCCUCCAGAGUUUGAGAAAACUGGAAGCACAAUCGAGGGUCACGUGUUCUCUCUGGGCUCCACCCUGUCUGCAGCGCUGGAUUAUGUGACAGAUGUGGAUCUGCAGCUGGAGCUCAGUGAGGAGAGCAGAGCUUUACUGAGGCAGAUGCAGAAAGACACACCUGAGGAGAGACCCACACUACAGGUACACAAACACUGCUCUUUUACUCACCUUUACACUGUAACAACGUCAAAGAGACAUGCGCACACAUUUCAGGAUCAUUUCAGACAUGCAGAAGUGGACAGUAAUGGAGUACUUUUAAAAGGGGCGUUCAACUAGACACUAGUGAGGUGUACCUAAUAAAGUGGCCAGUGAGUAUAUAUACACAUUUUACUUCACUGUUCAAUUCAAUUCCUCUUUCACUGUACAUUGAGAGAUG